rnacentral:rRNA from 1 species
AUCCGGAGGGGGCUAGCGUUGUUCGGAAUCACUGGGCGUAAAGCGCGCGUAGGCGGUUUGCCAAGUCAGGCGUGAAAGCCCUGGGCUCAACCCGGGAACUGCGCUUAAUACUGGUAGACUUGAGUCCGGGAGAGGGUGGCGGAAUUCCCAGUGUAGAGGUGAAAUUCGUAGAUAUUGGGAAGAACACAAGUGGCGAAGGCGGCCACCUGGCCCGGUACUGACGCUGAGGUGCGAAAGCGUGGGGAGCAAACAGGAUUAGAAACCCCGGUAGUCC